AACGUUGGCGGCGUGGAUUAGGCAUGCAAGUCGGACGAGAAGCUUCCUUCGGGAAGUGGAAAGUGGCAAACGGGGUAGUAAGGCGUAGGUGACGUACCCUCAAGUCCGGGAUAGCCACGGGAAACCGUGAUUAAUACCGGAUAACCUCUCAGAGUAUGGUGCUUUGAGAGCAAAGGUGUGAUUCCGCUGGAGGAGCGGCUUACGUGAUAUUAGGUAGUUGGUGAGGUAACGGCUCACCAAGCCUCAGAUGUCUAGGGGGUGUGAGAGCAUGGCCCCCACCACUGGGACUGAGACACUGCCCAGACACCUACGGGUGGCUGCAGUCGAGAAUCUUCGGCAAUGGACGCAAGUCUGACCGAGCGACGCCGCGUGCGGGAUGAAGGCCCUUGGGUUGUAAACCGCUGUCAGAGGGGAUGAAAUGCAAGAGGGCUAUCCCUCUUGUUUGACAGAGCCUCAGAGGAAGCACGGGCUAAGU
rnacentral:rRNA from 1 species